AGGAGCCGCGGCCCUACCGCGCUCCGGGAGCUCCGGGGCCGGUGCAGCGCAGCGGGUCCGCCCGCCCGCGGCCGCCGAGCGCCGCUCCCCGGGCCGCCGCGGCGCCCGCACCCCGCCCGCGGCGGGGGUUUGCCCGUGGGGCGAGCCCGCGGGCCGGUUGCGAGCAGGAUGCGCCUGGCGCUGGUCUCCAGGUAGAGCGCGGAGACAGCGGGGGGGGUGGGACACGGGGCCGCCCGGGCCUCGCCCGGCCAGCGCGGGGCCCCUCGCGCGGGGCGGGCCGCGGGCCCGCCGCUGCGGCCCGCAGGAAGCCGCGGGGCGCUCGGAGCGGCGGCAGGGAGGAGAAGGAGGCCCGGCCGCGGGAAGAGGGCUGCGGAUAGGGAGGAAGAGGAGGAGCCCCGCCGCCCCCCGCCCGCCGCAGGAAGCCGCCGGAGGAUGUACGGCAGCGCCCGGGGCCCGGCCGGCACGCCGUGACAGCCCGCCCCAGCACCCCGCUCGCCUCGCCGCGGCCGGCCGAACCCCUUCCUGCGGAGGAAACAUGUCCAAGAUGCCGGCCAAGAAGAAGAGCUGCUUCCAGAUCACCAGCGUGACCACGGCGCAGGUGGCCAGCAGCAUUACCGAGGACACCGAGAGCCUGGAUGACCCGGAUGAGUCCCGCACCGAGGACGUGUCUUCUGAGAUCUUUGAUGUUUCCCGAGCCACCGACUACGGCCCCGAGGACGUCUGUGAGCGGAGCUCCUCCGAAGAGACUCUCAACAACGUGGGCGAGGCCGAAACUCCCAGCAGCGUCUCUCCCAAUCUCCUUUUGGACGGGCAGCUGGCUGUGGCCGCUCCUGGGAUGGCUGCAGGCCCCAACGGGGGGGCUGUGCCCAAAAGUUCGGCUGUGCCCCUGCCAGCUGUUGCUCCUGGCACAGCUGUGGGGGGGGGCAGCAGUGCUCAGGCUGCCCUGCCCUCCACAGGGCCUUCGGCACCCAGUGCCCCCGGGGCCAUGUCUCAGACGGCGGCUGCUGCGUGCAGCUCACGCUUCAGGGUGAUCAAGCUGGACCACGGUACUGGGGAGCCCUACAGGCGAGGCCGAUGGACGUGUAUGGAGUACUAUGACCGGGACUCAGACGGUGGUGGUGUUCUGGGCAGGACUGGAGAUUGCAUUAGGCACAGCAGCACCUUCGAACAGGCUGCUCAGGAGAGGGACAGUGGCCUCGGUGCCACAGGAGGUUCUGUUGUGAUCUCGGCUGUGCCAGCGUCAGCCCAUGGCCCCGAUUCUAUAGCUGACAGCUCCCUGGCUGCUGUGUCACAGCUGCUUCAGACAGAGAAAAUGAACCAGUCCUCUCUACAGCAACCUAAUUUUGUCAUUGGGCAACAGCAACAGCCCGUAGGUGGGGCCGUGCCUCAGAGUACUGCUCAGCCUGUGUUUUCUGGGGCUUCGGGAGCAAGUCAGCAAAUGAUAGUGCCGCAGCAACCACAGGUAAAUCCACAGGGUGUUUCACAGGCUGGACCCAACGGGAAAGGCAUGGCACCUCCAAAUGUGACAGCAGGGCAGUCAGGCAUUCCUGUGGCCCAGCAGCAGGUGCAGCAGGCAAACAUACCAGUGACUCAACCUCAACAAUUUGCUUAUUCUCAGUCCCAGAUUCCACCAGUGCAUCUACUGCCGACGCAGCCUCCUGGGCAGGCUGAAUACAUGCAGCACAUGACAAUAAUGCAGUCUCAAGGAGCUAUUCAGCAGGCUGCUACAAGCUCUGCUCCAAGUACUGUGGCCUCCAGCCUUCCUGUGGGGCAGGUGACGGGCCAGAACCCCUCACCUGUGGGAGCGCCAGUGAUGGGGGUGUCAGCGCAGCCCAGCGAAGCAGUCGGACAGGGGUCGGGGUUGUUGCAGAGUGGCCAGGCACAAGCGAGUCAGCCUGCCCUCCCGCAGCCGGGAGGUGUGGUGCAGCCAGGCCUUGGACAUACGGGGGUUGUGCAACAGAAAUCUGUGACUCAGCAUCCAAUGGGGGGAAGCAGUCAAGUGUCGGCAAUGCCCGGCGCUCCCCACGCUGUGGUCCCUGGAGUUCAGAGCGUGCCUGCGGUUGUGCCCGGUACAAGUGUGCCUAGCGUGUCCACCACCGCUUCUGCUGCUAUGCCAAACGUCCCUGUUACGCUGGCCCAGUCCCAGCUGACGAGCCACCCUUCUGUCAGCAGAAGCACUGGCACGGUCCAGUCCCAGCACGUCGGACACUCGAUGAUGCAAGGUGCACCCGCCAGCCUGCCUCAGGCGAGCCUCGGACAGUUUCAGACCCAGGCCCAGUCCUUAGUAGGCCAGAUUGAUGAUACUAGAAGAAAAUCGGAGCCCCUACCUCAGCCACCACUUUCUCUUAUAGCUGAAAAUAAACCUCUUGUGAAGCCUCCCAUUCCAGACACUCUAGCAAAUCCUCUUCAGUUACCUGCAAGUACUCCAAUGAACAGUCUUGCCAGCUCUGUUUUUGGCAUAUCCAUUCCUGUUGAUGGUGAUGAAGACAGGAAUCCGUCAACUGCAUUCUACCAAGCGUUCCAUUUCAACAAGUUACACGAGUCAAAGACCACCUGGGAUAGGUAUGGAUGCUUGAGUAUGGAAUGCAUACAUGCUGAGGAUUUGCCAGUUGAGGCAUUGGCUCUACAGUGGAUGGUGCACUCACAGAAUGUGUCAGACUCUCUCCAUUCAGUCAUCCAAAAAGACUUGUUUAAGGGAUAUUUUGGGUUUCUUCCUGGCCUUUUCAUAAGGACUGGAAUGUAUUUAUAAAUGUCAUUCUGCAGCCAUGGGAUAAAAUAUUUUUGUGCAAACUGGAAUUUGAUGUCAAGCAUUUAGGAUUUGAGAAAAAUAUACAAAAUUUUAAGAUUUGGCAGCACAUUUGGAGUUUCCCAUGAGAGCAGCUGUCACUGGAGGGCUCUGCUCAUGAAUGUCCCACAGGAGCUGCUUGGUGUUGGGAGCACUGUCAGAUGAAUAAAGAACAAAAUCAUGUGGGAAUUGUGCUACCGUAACAUCUAAUUCCCAUCUGCUUUUAGAAAGUGACAUGAACUAUAGUCAGCUGAUUUUAUCCUGAUGGCAAACGGGGGCACCCUGUGUCAGUGUGGAGCUUCUCCUGGGUGGGUGGGUGAGUAGGGGUCUGCGUGGUGCCAGCCUCUGCCUGCUGAAGCUGGGACCCAGGAUGUGUACAGGGAGCAGGGCUGGAAUCCAGACUCAGCAUCUUAGUCUUAGCACAGCUGCUCUGGGGCUGAGGGCAGCAAGAACGUUACGAAGUGUAUAAAGCUGCCUAGAGCCUUCAGCACUGUUGGUGUCAUGUCAGGUGAGGGGUGUGUGGUAAAGCAGUGGCUCCUUCCAGUCACUCUGCAGGGAGGGACAGCUCCUACACCCAACAGGCAGAGGGGAGCUCAGAGCACAAGGUACUCACAGGAAAGGUGCCUCUGCAGCACGUCACGCAGGUCAGCUCUUUGGGAGGCUGAGGGAAGGCUUGAAUGCCUUAGAGUCAUGUAGUGGGAUUUGUUGUUUUAAAUAAUCACACUACAAAGUAGCUGAAACAGGACUAGAAGAACUAAUUUCUGAUCUCAAGUUUGACUAGAUGGGUAUUGACGGAAGUUGUACACUUGUGGUGCAGAGAUGGGGAAGUAGAUCCCACUGCCAAGUGUGCUGUUUGCUUUAAUUGUCCUCUUGUUGUUACUUCUUCAGAGCUGCCUCAUCUGACUUGUAGAGUGGUAUCCAUGAAGGACUGUGAGAGGACAUGGAUCUUGGGGAUUUUGUGGUUCAUGAACACGGAUACUUCUGGCAGAGUCAGAUGAGUCUGAUAUAUGUUAACUCGACAUAGAAAGGCAUACUUCCCUUGGCAUGAGUUAUAAAUAGCUUUUAUUCUGAGGAGUUUACCAUAGAUAGGUAGAAAAAGAGGCUUAGAAGACAGUAAGAGAUUGGAACAAUUUCCUUCUGAAAUGCAUAUUCAGUGUUUUCGAUUUGGGUUUCAAGAUUGGUUCGGUAGAAAUAGAGGCUGUUACUCCCCCGGUCUGCAAACCUGGUGCCCUUAGUGCUGACAGUUCUGUGGGAGCCCUUAAAAAACUUCUCUGGCCAGUAUCGCUCUUCAGGAGCUAAGCCAUGUUUCACAUCUGUGACAAGUACUGCACAUUGCCGUCCUCUUUGUAAAAAGCCUUAAGUGAUUUUUUUCUUAACACUUGGAUUUGGUGAGUUGCACAAUUCCAGAGAGGCGAGUUUUCCAGCAUGACUGCAACCCUUGCAUUUUCCCCAUGCUAGCUCUACUAGACGUGGCUGCACACUGCUGAUAGCCAUGUCCGUGGCUGGGAGUGUUAUCAGCAGCACUCACUGGUGGGCUGGCACAGCCCAGGAGCUACUGUGUGUGUCAGAGCGGGCUGGGUGGGAAAUGGGACCCCUGAGACCCGGGGUGGGAGCUGGCUGCAGCCCUGUGUGCCCUGGGGAGAGCCACGCUCCUCUCUGAACGGAGAAACCAGAGUCUGGGGGGCAACAGGACACCCCCGGCCUGCCAAAAUCCCAACUCCAGAGCUGCGAGGGACUGGCUGGUGGGACUUGGAAACAGACCCUGGCUAUUAAAUUGGAAACAGACCCUGACGGCUGCAUUUCCGUCACGCAGGAUCCAGAGAUCCCAGUUGGGGAUCCCGUUGGCACAUGCGUCUGGUGCAAGUGUUGUUGCCAUUGACAACAAAAUAGAACAGGCAAUGGAUCUAGUGAAAAGCCAUUUGAUGUACGCAGUGAGAGAAGAAGUGGAAGUUCUGAAGGAACAAAUAAAAGAAUUAGUUGAAAGAAACUC